rnacentral:rRNA from 1 species
UACGUAGGGCGCAAGCGUUAUCCGGAAUUAUUGGGCGUAAAGAGCUCGUAGGCGGUUUGUCGCGUCUGCCGUGAAAGUCCGGGGCUCAACCCCGGAUCUGCGGUGGGUACGGGCAGACUUGAGUGCAGUAGGGGAGACUGGAAUUCCUGGUGUAGCGGUGAAAUGCGCAGAUAUCAGGAGGAACACCAAUGGCGAAGGCAGCUCGCUGGGACGGUACUGACGCUGAGGCGCGAAAGCGUGGGGAGCAAACAGG